AACGAACGCUGGCGGCAUGCCUAACACAUACAAGUCGAACGAGACCUUCGGGUCUAGUGGCGCACGGGUGCGUAACGCGUGGGAACCUGCCCUUAGGUUCGGAAUAACUCCCCGAAAGGGGUGCUAAUUCCGGAUAAUGUCUUCGGACCAAAGAUUUAUCGCCUUUGGAUGGGCCCGCGUUGGAUUAGCUAGUUGGUAGGGUAAAAGCCUACCAAGGCGACGAUCCAUAGCUGGUCUGAGAGGAUGAUCAGCCACACUGGGACUGAGACACGGCCCAGACUCCUACGGGAGGCAGCAGUGGGGAAUAUUGGACAAUGGGCGAAAGCCUGAUCCAGCAAUGCCGCGUGAGUGAUGAAGGCCUUAGGGUUGUAAAGCUCUUUUACCCGGGAUGAUAAUGACAGUACCGGGAGAAUAAGCUCCGGCUAACUCCGUG
rnacentral:rRNA from 1 species